rnacentral:lncRNA from 1 species
UAUUUAUUUAUUUAUUUAUUUGUUUGUUUGUUUAUUUAUUUGUUUGUUUGUUUGUUUGUUUGUUUGUCACUAGCCAUUAAAUAAAUAUUUUUUUCCUCCAUCUUUUCACAGCCUAAAUGUUCACAUGACUAAACCCAUAAAUAACAUUGAUCUGUGAUUUAUGUUUCAGGGAUCUACCUGCUGGACAUCAUCUACAUCGACUCGGCCUAUCCAGCGUCUGACAGCAUCAUCGAGACGGAGCAGAGAGCCAAUCAGAUGAACAACAUCCUGCGGGUGAUCUCUGACCUCCAGAUGUCCUGCACAUACGAUCACCUCGUGACGCUCCCGCAUGUGCAGAAGUAUCUGAUGUCCGUCCGCUACAUCGAGGAGCUCCAGAAGUUUGUGGAAGACGACAACUUCAAACUGUCUCUGAAAAUCGAACCCGGGAACUGUUCACCGCGCAUGGCCACAUCCAAAGAAGACCUCGCAGGUGAGAAACUGCAUUAUUUAUUUAUUUAUUUAUUUAUUUAUUUAUUUAUUUAUUUAUUUAUUUAUUUAUUUAUUUAUUUGUUUGUUUGUUUGUUUGUUUAUUUGUUUAUGAUGAUGAUGAUGAUGAGAUGAUCAUUAUUAUUAUUAUUU